CCUACGGGAGGCAGCAGUGGGGAAUUUUGGACAAUGGGCGCAAGCCUGAUCCAGCAAUGCCGCGUGAGUGAAGAAGGCCUUCGGGUUGUAAAGCUCUUUUGUCAGGGAAGAAACGGCUCCAGCUAAUAUCUGGGGCUAAUGACGGUACCUGAAGAAUAAGCACCGGCUAACUACGUGCCAGCAGCCGCGGUAAUACGUAGGGUGCAAGCGUUAAUCGGAAUUACUGGGCGUAAAGCGUGCGCAGGCGGUUUUGUAAGUCUGUCGUGAAAGCCCCGGGCUCAACCUGGGAAUUGCGAUGGAGACUGCAAGGCUUGAAUCUGGCAGAGGGGGGUAGAAUUCCACGUGUAGCAGUGAAAUGCGUAGAGAUGUGGAGGAACACCGAUGGCGAAGGCAGCCCCCUGGGUCAAGAUUGACGCUCAUGCACGAAAGCGUGGGGAGCAAACAGGAUUAGAUACCCUGGUAGUCCACGCCCUAAACGAUGUCUACUAGUUGUCGGGUUUUAAUUAACUUGGUAACGCAGCUAACGCGUGAAGUAGACCGCCUGGGGAGUACGGUCGCAAGNUUAAAACCGNGAAAGGAUUGACGGNNGAGAGNGCGAGACGACGACGAGGGAGGAGG
rnacentral:rRNA from 1 species